rnacentral:lncRNA from 1 species
AAAACUAAACUAGACUUUAACCUAAUUACUAACUAAACACACCACCACUUCGUUGUCUUCUUCAUCUACCGGCCGCACCACCACCUUCGUCUUCGUGUUUUUCCAGCCAUGAUUCUUCUUCUUCAUCCUGGGAUUUGAGAUGCAAGUUGCAGAGAGGAGGCAAACGUCACAUCCAUCUAGACCUAAUCUCGUCGCCUCCUCACCAACUCGCCAUCAGCUUCCUCUUCCUGAAUCUGAAGCCGUCAUCUUCCUCCUCUAGCCGCCAUACCUGCCUUGCCUUGCUUCCUCCAUCCCUAAAAAAAAUAAUACAGUUCAAAACAGAGAGAGAGAGAGAGAGAGAGAGAGAGAGAGAGAGAGAGAUGAGUUCUAACCGUGGUUGUGUGGUGGUGGUGAUGCUUGGACGGCGAACGAACGGUCGUGUGGUGGUGGUUGUGAUGCUGGGACGGCGAAAACAAACGGGUGGUUGUGGUGGUGGUGAUUGAGGAAGAUAGAGAUCCAAAGAAUUAAAAAAGAUAUGAGAUCAUAUUUAGAUCUGUAACAAAAAAAGAGAGAGAGAGAGAUAACGUGAGACAAGAAGAAAGAGAUUG